AAUGGCGAAUGAACAGGGGUAAGUUCAGCAUGGAAAUUGGAGCCUCUGGCUUUGACUUGUGAUCUCAAGGUGUACAACCAACAGAUGUGCAGGUGUAAACCUCUUGGAAAAGAGUACCGUCGAGGGUGAGAGUCCCGCGCGUCACUUGCCGCCUUUCUGUGCACGGUGUGCAUUCCAAGAGUCACGUUCCUUGGGAUUGGAGCGCAAAGUGGGUGGUAAAUUUCAUCUAAAACUAAAUAUGGGCCCAAGACCGAUAGCAAACAAGUACCCUGAGGGAAAAGUGAAAAGGACUUUGAAAAGAGAGUUAAACAGAGCCUGCCAUCGCUGAAAGGGAAGCGAACGAAACUAGUUUGGUUUGGCGAGAUUGUGGCGUGCUAAUCCGAUUGCUUGCCGCUUCAACUCACGUGUGGUGACAGGUUAUGAAGAGGAUGCGCGUUACACUUCUCGCCUUUUCAAUCAGCAUCUGUUCAGGCGCGGGGAAAAAACAGGGGCAUGGUAGCUCUUCCUCGGAGGCGUGAAUACCCUUGCGGCUACCCGCGUGUGCACGGAUUGUUGGUGACAUGGUUUCUUUCGACCCGUCUUGAAACACGGACCAAGGAGUCUAACAUGUGUGCGAGUUCGCAAGUACCUAAUCUUGCUUGCGCAAUGAAAGUAAUUGCUGGGAUUUCUGCACCAGCAACCGACCAAUCACUUGCGAAAGGUUUGAGUAGGAGCAUGCUUGUUAGGACCCGAAAGAUGGUGAACUAUGCCUGUGGAGGGCAAACUCAGAGGAAACUCUGAUGGAGGCUCGUAGCGAUACUGACGUGCAAAUCGUUCGUCAUACAUGGGUAUGGG
rnacentral:rRNA from 1 species